rnacentral:rRNA from 1 species
AUUGAACGCUGGCGGCAUGCCUUACACAUGCAAGUCGAACGGCAGCGGGGACUUCGGUCCGCCGGCGAGUGGCGAACGGGUGAGUAAUGUAUCGGAACGUACCUUUCAGUGGGGGAUAACGUAGCGAAAGUUACGCUAAUACCGCAUAUUCUCUGAGGAGGAAAGCAGGGGACCUUCGGGCCUUGCGCUGAUGGAGCGGCCGAUAUCAGAUUAGCUAGUUGGUGGGGUAAAGGCUCACCAAGGCUACGAUCUGUAGCGGGUCUGAGAGGAUGGUCGGCCACACUGGGACUGAGACACGGCCCAGACUCCUACGGGAGGCAGCAGUGGGGACUUUUGGACAAUGGGCGAAAGCCUGAUCCAGCCAUGCCGCGUGAGUGAAGAAGGCCUUCGGGUUGUAAAGCUCUUUCGGACGGGAAGAAAUCAUGAGGGCUAAUAUCCCUUGUGGAUGACGGUACCGUAAUAAGAAGCACCGGCUAACUACGUGCCAGCCGCCGCGGUAA